AAGCGAGAAUCCGCUUGUAAACAGUGAAAAAUGGACCGGUUAUGCCGUUAUUUUUGUGAGUUUGAGGGGCUUUUUGGUCUUUUACCAUUCAGUGGCAAUGGUUCAGUUGGAAUUUCACAAUUUUGGCAGUCAACAAUUGCUGGUGGUUAGUGGGCGGUGGGCGGUCUUAGCUUUUGCUAGCAAUUGCUGCUGGUUAGUGCCUUAGUGGGCGGUGUCUUGGCGCUGGAUGGGAGUGGUUUUGCUGGAAAUUCACCGCUCUCCACGUGUUGUUCUUCAACAACAACAAGUUUAGCGGCGAAUUGAGAAAGCUCGGCAGCGGAUAUAUGAGGGCUAGCUGCUAAUUGUGUUGGGUAAGGUGAGUUGUAGUCUUUUUUCGCAUUUGUUUUUGUGUUUUAUGAUGCCAACAAGUAGCUUGCUAAGACACGACCUGGAGGACAUACGGCAAUUCCAUGGCAAAACACUGAUAAACUCUGCUUCCCACUCUUCCUCUUCCUCCUCUCUACUGUUUUCUAUCUAAAAUCCCCUAGCAAAUGCAAAACCGGAUCUUCGAUUCUCCUAUGACUGGCAGAGUUUGAAUUACCAACCUCAUCAGUUUUGUUUUCCAUAUGCCCACCUUAUAUCCAUCUCCUCCACCAAGGGCAAUUUGGUUUUACUGAUUCAAUCCCUUUUUAUUUUUCAUAUACCUGUCUUAUAUCCAUUUCACUCCACCAAGGCCAAUUUGAUUUUGCUGAUUCAAUCCCUUUCUCUGCAUCCUAUGAGACUUAAUGCCCAUCAAUCUCUGUUUUGGGACUCUCUCCUAAUCUCCGGUACUUUGAACUGAUCUUAUGCUAGAUAUGAGGUAUAAUUGGUCUUGUAUUAUUCUGCUAUUGUUGAUUGUCAUGCAUGUGUGUUCUUCAAUCAUGUUGAGGUUUAUAUGAAUUAGAAUCUGGCUGGUAUUUUGCAUGCUGUACUUCGGAUUCUUUCCUUUCAAUUCUUAUGGAGCCUGAGCAUUGGAUUAAGUUUUGUUUUUCUCACGGAUAUUUCUGAACUGGGAUUGGUUUUUUGUGGUAAAUUUGCAUUACUACUCGUUACUACUCAUUGGUUGCAAAUUGGAUGUUUGAUGUUCGUAUACAAGUCAUGCUUUCUCUUUUUUUAGUUGCUUUACUUUUGUAUCAUAGUUAUGCUUUUGGCUUCUGUAUCAUUGAUCUAAGCUUAGCAAUGUUUCUGAUGUAAGAUAAGUCAAAGAUAUCCAUUGUACUAAGCCAUGUCUCAAGCAUUUGAAGCUUCCCCAAUAGAUGGUUUUAGGUAAUAAUUGAAUCUUUUUGCUAAAUUGUGUCUAUUGGGAUGAUAGGUUUGUCUGUUUCAUUUAGUUUAAGUUUAUAUUGCUCCUAAGGAUCUUCAGAGUGGCUUGUUUUCUCUAUGUGAUUAGAUUGUGUCUUGUUUUAUUUAGAUUGAUUCUAUUGCGUGUUAUACCUUUGGGAUAUUUCCAAUUGAUUGAAUGUCUCUAUGGUGAUUAUCAGCUGACGUAGUAGUGCUUUAGCAGGAAGCAGUGAAGACUAUCUCAGUUUUGGGACUUUCUCAAUCUGCUGCAUUUCCUCAUGUUUAAUUGGCAAAAAAAGGCUAGAUAGAUCUUGGCAAAAUUGAAUGCACAAUCCAUAGCAUCCAGAUCAGAUAAAUAUGUUACUCCCUGAAUUGUAUCACCCUGAAGAAAAAAGAGAUAGCUACUACCCAUAUGAAAAAACAAUGAUCCUUUUAUAUAGCAGCAGGAAAUUGGCCACGUACAAAGAAAA